rnacentral:rRNA from 1 species
UACGUAGGGUCCAAGCGUUAUCCGGAAUCACUGGGCGUAAAGCGUUUGUAGGCGGAAAUUUAAGUGAGAUGCGAAAUCUUGUGGCUCAACCAUAUAGACGGUAUCUCAUACUGGGUUUCUAGAAGAUAGCAGAGGUAAGUGGAAUUAGUAGUGUAGCGGUAAAAUGCGUAGAUAUUACUAGGAACACCAAUGGCGAAGGCAGCUUACUGGGCUAUAUUGACGCUGAGAAACGAAAGCGUGGGGAGCGAACAGG